rnacentral:rRNA from 1 species
UACGUAGGGUGCGAGCGUUGUCCGGAAUUAUUGGGCGUAAAGGGCUCGUAGGCGGUUUGUCGCGUCGGGAGUGAAAACCCAGGGCUUAACUCUGGGCUUGCUUUCGAUACGGGCAGACUAGAGGUAUGCAGGGGAGAACGGAAUUCCUGGUGUAGCGGUGAAAUGCGCAGAUAUCAGGAGGAACACCGGUGGCGAAGGCGGCAUCCUGGACCGGCAUUGACGCUGAGGCGCGAAAGCUAGGGGAGCAAACGGG